rnacentral:sRNA from 1 species
ACAGUGCAUGCAGUGCUGGAAAAACUAAGAAGACUGACGACUCAAUUCAUGGUAGGAGGCAUCAAGGAAGCCUUCCUGGAGAAGGAGAAAUGAAGAUUGAGUAUUGAAAGACAAGACAUAGUCAUAAUGGAUGUGCAGGUUAGGUGUCAGGUGAAAAGCAAGAAGAUUUCAUAAUUAAACACCACCACUGACCAUCAUUUACUAACGGAGGAGUCCCUGGCAUGUGACAACCCAGGACUGCCUGAAAAUGGAUACCAAAUCCUGUACAAGCGACUCUACCUGCCAGGAGAGUCCCUCACCUUCAUGUGCUACGAAGGCUUUGAGCUCAUGGGUGAAGUGACCAUCCGCUGCAUCCUGGGACAGCCAUCCCACUGGAACGGGCCCCUGCCCGUGUGUAAAGCAGAAGCGGCAGCAGAGACGUCGCUGGAAGGGGGGAACAUGGCCCUGGCUAUCUUCAUCCCGGUCCUCAUCAUCUCCUUACUGCUGGGAGGAGCCUACAUUUACAUCACAAGAUGUCGCUACUAUUCCAACCUCCGCCUGCCUCUGAUGUACUCCCACCC